rnacentral:lncRNA from 1 species
CCCCCUUUAGAUUUGCUUGACUUGGAAGAAGUAGACUUGGGAGGAAACUUCUUUCUAAAGUUUCGACGGAACUUCUUUGUUAGAAGUGCUAGUUGCUUUUCAAAGUCCUCCAGGGUUUGCUCCGACUCUGAAUCUGAUGAAGUUGAAGUGACAUCUCCUUUUGUUGAUUUUAGAGCCAUCCCUGAAGCUUUAGAAAAAGACUUGGAAGAAGACAAAUUAGAAGGAAAAGUCAUUUCAUAAGUUUGAAGAGCACCUACUAAUUCUUCUACCUUGAGUUCAUCAGGAUGUUUGACCGUUUCAAUAGCCGCAACCUUAGGACGAAAUCGUUCGGGAAGGGUCCUCAAAAUUUUUCGAACAAUUUUGGAAUCGGGAAUUUUCUCGCCCAAGUUAGCAC